rnacentral:misc_RNA from 1 species
AAGUCGUAACAAGGUUUCCGUAGGUGAACCUGCGGAAGGAUCAUUAACACGUAUCCAACGUUAAACCCCCCGUGAACCUUUAUUGCGAACCACGCCUUUGUUAGAAAGUAGCAAUCCCUGGUAAAUCAUCGCCGAACAGUUUUGAUUCAGCGAAGAGAGCGGUUGUAGCGCGAGGUAAGUGGCCUGGCAUCCCUCUGCUUGUUAGUGUCUGAAAGUGUCACUAGCUCUGUACGGAUGGCGCAGUCACGAUCGCUGGAGGCCGACACGGCCGGCGACCGGGUCACCGGGCAUAGACCCCCCUAUCACCCCUUUGCAUGAAAACGGGCCUGCGCUUAAUUGUGCGGCCACCAAACUCGAACAACUGUUAACAAUGGAUAUCUUGGUUCUC